rnacentral:rRNA from 1 species
UACGUAGGGGGCUAGCGUUGUCCGGAAUCAUUGGGCGUAAAGCGCGUGUAGGCGGUCCGGUAAGUCCGCUGUGAAAGUCGAGGGCUCAACCCUCGAAUGCCGGUGGAUACUGUCGGGCUUGAGUACGGGAGAGGCGAGUGGAAUUCCUGGUGUAGCGGUGAAAUGCGCAGAUAUCAGGAGGAACACCGGUGGCGAAGGCGGGUCUCUGGGCCGAAACUGACGCUGAGGAGCGAAAGCGUGGGGAGCGAACAGG